rnacentral:lncRNA from 1 species
ACAAGUACUCCUGUGCUCUCCUUCCUUCUCCUGAUAACCCCAAUCCCAAACUCUCCACCUUCCACCGCCGCAACAGAAACUCAAGUAUCCCAGCGUAAUCCGCCGCCGUGUAAACUCCAAUCCGCUGCGCCACGGCGGCGUAAUGAUCAAACAAAUCGUUAUCUCUUCCGUCGUGCAUAAGAUGAGCCGGCAUUGUGAUCCGUUUCUUCAUCAUACUCGCUAACGCCUGAACAGAUCCGUCAGGGUCGAUCUCGAAUAGCUUCUCCACUAUCUUCGUGUACGCCGUCUCGUGUCGCUUCUCGUCGGCAGCGAUUGUGCCGCAGAUCUUCGCGAGGGUAACAUCGCCGUAUGUUGUGGCUAGCCUAGCCGUGUUGCCGUGAGAGAUGAAUGUUGCUCGCUCUUGGAAUGAUGUGUAGAUGAAUCCAUUGUAUGGAUUGUUCUCAAAUUUCGAAUCCUAAAACGUAACGUUGCCAAAAAAAAUAUUAAUAAUGUAACCAAAUCAAUAGUAACGAUAAAUGUGAAAUACUUACCAUACCAGAACCAAUAAGAUAUUGUAUAGUCUUCUCAACAUGUCGCAUAUCAACACGACCAGUUAGAUAAAGAUACUUGUUGAGUAAGUCACCGUGACGGUUUUCCUCCGCCGUCCAGGCUCUAAUCCACACAGCCCACGGCGAUAAACUCCCACCGGUUUCAUCCUUAACACCGUCUAGUGUGUUUAACGUCGUUUGAUACGUUGGAAGUGCUUCUUCUGUGAUCAUAUCUCCCACAAGAACUACAAAGUAAUCGUCAGGUAUCUCUUUUGUUCUUUCUCUGAUCUCUUUUACUCGGUCGUAGAAUUCGUCGUCGUUCUCUGGCGCAGGUAAGAAGUCUUGUGGUUGCCAUGAAUCUUCUACCGGUUUGAGAUAAGGUCGAAAAUGAUUGCAUGUUUCGUUUUUCUUCCUACAAAAAAAAGAGGUGAACAAAUUUUAAUACCAAACAGAUAUUAGUCAUGGAUACGUGUUAAAAAAGAUUUGCGAUAUCUUUUUAUAGUACAAAACUAUAAAAAGGGUUAAUAAUAGUACAAUUACAGUAAACUCUAUAAAUGUGGUGGUUAUAUAUACGUAUUCUUUCACAACAUGUAAUUUUAACAUAAACUCCCUUAAAAAAACAACUCCGUUGUAUUUCUAUAGUUUUAUUUAAAGAAUUAUGAAAUGUAUUCAUUUUAUAUAUAUAAAAUUGUGAUGAUAUUGAUUGGUC